rnacentral:rRNA from 1 species
AGGCCACUGCUAUCAGAGUUCGAUUAAGCCAUGCGAGUCGAGAGGUGUAAGACCUCGGCAUACUGCUCAGUAACACGUGGACAACCUACCCUAAGGAGGGGGAUAACCCCGGGAAACUGGGGAUAAUACCCCAUAGACUAUGGAUGCUGGAAUGCUUCGUAGUUCAAAGGUCCGCCGCCUUAGGAUGGGUCUGCGGCCGAUUAGGUUGUUGUUGGGGUAACGGCCCAACAAGCCUGUAAUCGGUACGGGUUGUGGGAGCAAGAGCCCGGAGAUGGAUUCUGAGACACGAAUCCAGGCCCUACGGGGCGCAGCAGGCGCGAAAACUUUACAAUGCGAGAAAUCGUGAUAAGGGAACUCUGAGUGCCCGUAAAAUCGGGCUGUCCAUCUGUUUAAAUAACAGGUGAAGAAAGGGCCGGGCAAGACCGGUGCCAGCCGCCGCGGUAAUACCGGCGGCUCGAGUGGUGGCCACUAUUACUGGGCUUAAAGCGUCCGUAGCUGGUCUGUUAAGUCUCUGGGGAAAUCUUCCGGCUCAACCGGAAGGCGUCUCAGGGAUACUGGCAGACUAGGGACCGGGAGAGGUGAGAGGUACUCCAGGGGUAGGAGUGAAAUCCUGUAAUCCUUGGGGGACCACCUGUGGCGAAGGCGUCUCACCAGAACGGCUCCGACAGUGAGGGACGAAAGCUGGGGGAGCAAACCGGAUUAGAUACCCGGGUAGUCCCAGCCGUAAACGAUGCGCGUUAGGUGUAUCGGUGACCACGAGUCACCGAGGUGCCGAAGAGAAAUCGUGAAGCGCGCCGCCUGGGAAGUACGGUCGCAAGGCUGAAACUUAA